rnacentral:misc_RNA from 1 species
ACGAAAAGCCGAUUUUAGAUACAAAAUCAGUUCCGGUAUAGAGGAAGCUUGCGAAAUAGAGGAGGAAAGCAUUGGUUCGAACUCGUAUGCCUUUCCUGAGUUCCAUGUGCUUCUAGUAAGCGAGGUAAUCACCGGUUUCGUCUCACCACUCAUCGCAAAACCUAUUGAAAAUUAAAAACCUAAAAUUUUGUGAAGAGAAAAGAGUUGUUACCGUUUCGCGAGAUCAACAGUGAGAGUGAAAUUCCGGUGCCGGUGAAGAAGACGGCCGGCGAGUGGUUAGUGAGGUGACUUUUGCAGUUUCUGUUUCAGGUGGAAAGUCCAGUGGCACAAGGUAUAUCAGUGUACGGG